UGUUCUAAAAAAAAAACAACAACAUGCACUUCACGGAUGCACUUAAAUCCGAAUCUCGUGCUGAUUCACGUGUGCAAGGCUUCAGGUGACUGAUUUGUGAACAUUUACGUGGGAAUUGCUCCCGUACUAUUCACACGGUGUCACGUGCAACUUCAAGGUAUAGCACAGUGGAGUGUUCGUCAGUCACAUGAUCCCGCGUGCAAACGUAUAUAAAGGUUUAUAGGGGGGGGGGUCUGGUGGAGGGGGUGCCAAUACUUUACUGCAUGUCUGAUAUCUCACUAAAGUGCAUGCAUACACUCCUGGAGCACGAGGGCUGGACUAGAACAGAGUAUAAUCCAUCAGCGCGUAUAGGUGGACCUGAUGUAAAAGACAGACGCUCACACAUUCCCGGCGGAAAUGACAAUGUGCGCGUGCUGAACCGAACCGAACUGAGCGCGAGGACGUUCUGAGUGUUGUUCUGGGACGGUAGUCACCGGGAUCGUCCAGGACCCUUGUCAAACUGUGCGUUCCGAGGGUUUGGACGUCACGGUGCGCGCGUGAUAUUAUCUAGAACCCGCCCCCCUCUCCGGUGGUCCUGAGCGCGAGCGCGGUGCACGGACAGGAGAGGCUUCAUGUCACGUCCCUUCAUACGGAAGUGAUGCUGAUUUCUUUUUUCUUCUCUCCGCUACCUUUCUGAAACCGACCCGUGUGGAGAAUGAAGACCUCUCUGCUGUCACUUCGUGCCUGAACGAUGAUGGAUGGAGCAGUGGAUCUCUGGCAGGAAGUGUGUGUAGAUCUUUCUGCUCCUCUGCUCAGCUGAUAAGAACCUGAGUGUUGUGAUAAUACCGACCUUUUAAACCAAUCAGAACCACUGACUCUGCAGGACAAGAGCAGGUCAGGUCCAUCAUGUCAUCGCCGAGGUAUGUUUCAGUCAGAGCUCCUUUCACACUGCAGGACUUUGAUUCUCUCAGAUGGCGUCUUUGGUCAUUCACACUGCGCGAUUGUCUCCCUUGUACACGAGCUCCAAUUUGCCUCCGAUUUUGUGCAUUUGUCGGCAAUUUCGCAAAACCUGUCGGCGACUGAAAAUCCUGCAGUGUGAACUCGGCAUUACUGAUGUAUGGAAAAACCCGCGGCUGCGUCAAAGCCUGGUACCAAAUGGUCAACGGCCCAGUACCGAUCCACGGUCCAGUGGUUGGGGACCCCUGCUCUAGGCUACAUUAAGAUCUGCUAGGCUAUCGCUAGGCUAUGUUAAGAUCCUCUAGGCUACAUUAAGAUCCGCUAGGCUAUGUUAAGAUCCUCUAGGUUACAUUAAGAUCCGCUAGGCUAUCGCUAGGCUAUGUUAAGAUCCUCUAGGCUACAUUAAGAUCCACUAGGCUAUGUUAAGAUCCUCUAGGCUACAUUAAGACCCGCUAGGCUAUGUUAAGAUCCUCUAGGCUACAUUAAGAUCCGCUAGGCUAUCGCUAGGCUAUGUUAAGAUCCUCUAGGCUACAUUA